GCAAAAAUCCGUAAACCAGUGUCAAAUCCCCUAAAACUUCAACCUAAGCUUAGGGAGAGGGCAUCAAGUACAUACAAAUAGCUACAGACGCCUUGCCUAGCCACGCCCCCACGGGACCCAGCAGUGAUAAAAAUUAAGCAAUGAACGAAAGUUUGACUAAGUUAUACCUCUCAAGGGUUGGUAAAUUUCGUGCCAGCCACCGCGGUCAUACGAUUAACCCAAAUUAAUUAUUAUACGGCGUAAAACGUGUUCAUAGGAAUAAAACUAAUAGAAUUAAAAACCAACCAAUAUGUGAAAAUUCAUCGUUGGGAUUAAAUUCAAUAACGAAAGUAAUUCUAAUCAACUUAAUACACGAUAGCUAAGAUCCAAACUGGGAUUAGAUACCCCACUAUGCUUAGCCUUAAACUUCAAUGAUUAAAUAACAAAAUCAUUUGCCUGAGAACUACUGGCUAUCGCUUAAAACUCAAAGGACUUGGCGGUACUUUAUAUCCGUCUAGAGGAGCCUGUUCUAUAAUCGAUACACCCCGUUAUACCUCACCAUCCCUUGCUAAUUCAGCCUAUAUACCGCCAUCUUCAGCAAACCUUAAAAAGGAAUAAAAGUAAGCAAGAGAAUUACCAUAAAAACGUUAGGUCAAGGUGUAGCUUAUGGAGUGGGAAGUAAUGAGCUACAUUUUCUUAAAAAGAACAUUACGAUACCCUUAUUGAAACAUAAGGGCAAAGGAGGAUUUAGUAGUAAAUUAAGAAUAGAGAGCUUAAUUG
rnacentral:rRNA from 1 species